rnacentral:rRNA from 1 species
GACGAACGCUGGCGGCGUGCUUAACACAUGCAAGUCGAGCGGAAAGGCCACUUCGGUGGUACUCGAGCGGCGAACGGGUGAGUAACACGUGAGUAAUCUGCCCCUCACUUUGGGAUAGCCACCGGAAACGGUGAUUAAUACCGGAUAUGACCAUAUGUCGCAUGGCGUGUGGUGGGAAGUUUUUCGGUGAGGGAUGUGCUCGCGGCCUAUCAGCUUGAUGGUGAGGUAAUGGCUCACCAUGGCUUCGACGGGUAGCCGGCCUGAGAGGGUGACCGGUCACACUGGGACUGAGACACGGCCCAGACUCCUACGGGAGGCAGCAGUGGGGAAUAUUGGACAAUGGGCGGAAGCCUGAUCCAGCAACGCCGCGUGAGGGAUGACGGCCUUCGGGUUGUAAACCUCUUUCAGUACCGACGAAGCGCAAGUGACGGUAGGUACAGAAGAAGCACCGGCCAACUACGUG